rnacentral:rRNA from 1 species
UAAAAGUCGUAACAAGGUUUCCGUAGGUGAACCUGCGGAAGGAUCAUUAGUGAAUAUAGGACGUCCAACUUAACUUGGAGUCCGAACUCUCACUUUCUAACCCUGUGCACUUGUUUGGGAUAGUAACUCUCGCAAGAGAGCGAACUCCUAUUCACUUAUAAACACAAAGUCUAUGAAUGUAUUAAAUUUUAUAACAAAAUAAAACUUUCAACAACGGAUCUCUUGGCUCUCGCAUCGAUGAAGAACGCAGCGAAAUGCGAUAAGUAAUGUGAAUUGCAGAAUUCAGUGAAUCAUCGAAUCUUUGAACGCACCUUGCGCUCCAUGGUAUUCCGUGGAGCAUGCCUGUUUGAGUGUCAUGAAUACUUCAACCCUCCUCUUUCUUAAUGAUUGAAGAGGUGUUUGGUUUCUGAGCGCUGCUGGCCUUUACGGUCUAGCUCGUUCGUAAUGCAUUAGCAUCCGCAAUCGAACUUCGGAUUGACUUGGCGUAAUAGACUAUUCGCUGAGGAAUUCUAGUCUUCGGACUAGAGCCGGGUUGGGUUAAAGGAAGCUUCUAAUCAGAAUGUCUACAUUUUAAGAUUAGAUCUCAAAUCAGGUAGGACUACCCGCUGAACUUAAGCAUAUCAAUA